UACGUAGGGUGCAAGCGUUGUCCGGAAUUAUUGGGCGUAAAGAGCUCGUAGGCGGUUUGUCGCGUCUGCCGUGAAAGUCCGGGGCUCAACUCCGGAUCUGCGGUGGGUACGGGCAGACUAGAGUGCGGUAGGGGAGACUGGAAUUCCUGGUGUAGCGGUGAAAUGCGCAGAUAGUCAGGAGGAACACCGGUGGCGAAGGCGGGUCUCUGGGCCGUAACUGACGCUGAGGAGCGAAAGCAUGGGGAGCGAACAGG
rnacentral:rRNA from 1 species